rnacentral:rRNA from 1 species
UGGUUCGAUUCUGGCUCAGGAUGAACGCUGGCGGCGUGCCUAACACAUGCAAGUCGAGCGAUUUACUUCGGUAAAGAGCGGCGGACGGGUGAGUAACGCGUGGGUAACCUGCCCUGUACACACGGAUAACAUACCGAAAGGUAUGCUAAUACGAGAUAAAAUACUUUUAUCGCAUGGUAGAAGUAUCAAAGCUUUUGCGGUACAGGAUGGACCCGCGUCUGAUUAGCUAGUUGGUAAGGUAACGGCUUACCAAGGCGACGAUCAGUAGCCGACCUGAGAGGGUGAUCGGCCACAUUGGAACUGAGACACGGUCCAAACUCCUACGGGAGGCAGCAGUGGGGAAUAUUGCACAAUGGGCGAAAGCCUGAUGCAGCAACGCCGCGUGAGCGAUGAAGGCCUUCGGGUCGUAAAGCUCUGUCCUCAAGGAAGAUAAUGACGGUACUUGAGGAGGAAGCCCCGGCUAACUACGUGCCAGCAGCCGCGGUAAUACGUAGGGGGCUAGCGUUAUCCGGAAUUACUGGGCGUAAAGGGUGCGUAGGUGGUUUCUUAAGUCAGAGGUGAAAGGCUACGGCUCAACCGUAGUAAGCCUUUGAAACUGGGGAACUUGAGUGCAGGAGAGGAGAGUGGAAUUCCUAGUGUAGCGGUGAAAUGCGUAGAUAUUAGGAGGAACACCAGUUGCGAAGGCGGCUCUCUGGACUGUAACUGACACUGAGGCACGAAAGCGUGGGGAGCAAACAGGAUUAGAUACCCUGGUAGUCCACGCCGUAAACGAUGAGUACUAGCUGUCGGAGGUUACCCCCUUCGGUGGCGCAGCUAACGCAUUAAGUACUCCGCCUGGGAAGUACGCUCGCAAGAGUGAAACUCAAAGGAAUUGACGGGGACCCGCACAAGUAGCGGAGCAUGUGGUUUAAUUCGAAGCAACGCGAAGAACCUUACCUAAGCUUGACAUCCUUUUGACCGAUGCCUAAUCGCAUCUUUCCCUUCGGGGACAGAAGUGACAGGUGGUGCAUGGUUGUCGUCAGCUCGUGUCGUGAGAUGUUGGGUUAAGUCCCGCAACGAGCGCAACCCUUGCCUUUAGUUGCCAGCAUUAAGUUGGGCACUCUAGAGGGACUGCCAGGGAUAACCUGGAGGAAGGUGGGGAUGACGUCAAAUCAUCAUGCCCCUUAUGCUUAGGGCUACACACGUGCUACAAUGGGUGGUACAGAGGGCAGCCAAGUCGUGAGGCGGAGCUAAUCCCUUAAAGCCAUUCUCAGUUCGGAUUGAAGGCUGAAACUCGCCUACAUGAAGCUGGAGUUACUAGUAAUCGCAGAUCAGAAUGCUGCGGUGAAUGCGUUCCCGGGUCUUGUACACACCGCCCGUCACACCACGGAAGUUGGGGGCGCCCGAAGCCACUUAGCUAACCCUUUUGGGAAGCGAGUGUCGAAGGUGAAAUCAAUAACUGGGGUGAAGUCGUAACAAGGUACCC